rnacentral:rRNA from 1 species
CCUACGGGAGGCUGCAGUGGGGAAUAUUGGGCAAUGGGCGCAAGCCUGACCCAGCAACGCCGCGUGAAGGAAGAAGGCUUUCGGGUUGUAAACUUCUUUUCUCAGGGACGAAGCAAGUGACGGUACAUGAGGAAUAAGCCACGGCUAACUACGUGCCAGCCGCCGCGGUAAUACGUAGGGGGCAAGCGUUAUCCGGAUUUACUGGGUGUAAAGGGCGUGGAGGCGGGAAAGCAAGUCAGAUGUGAAAACCAUGGGCUCAACCUGUGGCCUGCAUUUGAAACUGUUUUUCUUGAGUACUGGAGAGGCAGACGGAAUUCCUAGUGUAGCGGUGAAAUGCGUAGAUAUUAGGAGGAACACCAGUGGCGAAGGCGGUCUGCUGGACAGCAACUGACGCUGAGGCGCGAAAGCGUGGGGAGCAAACAGGAUUAGAUACCCUGGUAGUC